rnacentral:rRNA from 1 species
AACGAACGCUGGCGGCAGGCUUAACACAUGCAAGUCGAGCGCCCCGCAAGGGGAGCGGCAGACGGGUGAGUAACGCGUGGGAAUCUACCCAUCACUACGGAACAACUCCGGGAAACUGGAGCUAAUACCGUAUACGUCCUUCGGGAGAAAGAUUUAUCGGUGAUGGAUGAGCCCGCGUUGGAUUAGCUAGUUGGUGGGGUAAUGGCCCACCAAGGCGACGAUCCAUAGCUGGUCUGAGAGGAUGAUCAGCCACACUGGGACUGAGACACGGCCCAGACUCCUACGGGAGGCAGCAGUGGGGAAUAUUGGACAAUGGGCGCAAGCUUGAUCCAGCCAUGCCGCGUGAGUGAUGAAGGCCCUAGGGUUGUAAAGCUCUUUCACCGGUGAAGAUAAUGACGGUAACCGGAGAAGAAGCCCCGGCUAACUUCGUGCCAGCCGCCGCCGUAACAC